rnacentral:lncRNA from 1 species
CCCGAUUUGAUCUGAGCCAUCGAUCCCUUUCAAUCUAAUGACCAGAAUCCGUUCAAGCCAUUUUAAUAAAAACUAACCUAAAAACCCGAACCCCCAAUUUCAUUCCACCACCCCGUCCGCAUAGUCUCCUUCAGAGACCAAACUCCCUCAAACCCUAGACAGCCGCCACCCUUUUCACCGCCCAAAAUCUGGCGGCGUCGACUCCAAUUACCACCAAAUUAACACCCUAGACUCGCCUUCACCUCCCCAUCCCCAAUCACCAACUAGUUUCCUUCGAAACUUACCCAAAUCCUUCGAAUAUUAGAUCAGAAGUUGAACACUGAGUUUCCAAAACCAAAAAUUCGGUGAUCGAUUUUGAAGAUUUGAAGUCGUAAUAGGGUUUAUUCAUGUGUUUUCACGUGAGAACGCAUGAUUAAAACCUAUUUCGACCAAAAUCAAAGGGUGCCAAAGACUUUUUCAAGCCGAGCACUUGCUGUCCAUUUUAGGUAUCCCUCAUUUUUAUUUUUAUUUAUUUAGCUUUCAUGUUUCUUUUCUCCUUUUUCUGCUUCAUCUCAUUGUUCUCGACUUCUUUUGAUAUUUUUGUUUCACGGAUUAAUUUCCCUUCAUGUUAAUUUGUUUCGAUUUGGUAAUUAGUUUUGAUUCGUUAAAUUUAUCAAUUUUAAUUGUUGAGUUAGUUAGUUUGUUGAUAUGUUAGAACACUUUGGAUUUUGCAAUUGAUAACUAAGCUUGUCGUUUGGGAUUGGGUUGUAUCCGAGUCAAUUGAAAAAGAACAACCCGUCUAAAUUGCAUUAGGACAUUAGUUCAGCUUUGACCCUUAACUCAUGUGGGAUUUUAAGGCUAAAUAACAGGGGAUUUAGGGUUUAAUUAUGAAUUGGAAAAUAGAGCUGACAACUUGUUAGACACCUUUAGAGGUGGAAAAUCAGAAUUAACAUGGCCUGUCAGGGCACGCCUAACUUAAAAAUCAUGCUGCCCAUACCCAUUGAAUAGAAUAAUUGGAAAAGGGGUAAUGAGGUACUGAGAGACCUGUUUUAGUAUUUGAAAAUCAGAGAAUGAUGGAGAAAAUGGUUUAUUAAUGGUUAAAAUGCUCUUAAGAGCUGGAAAGGGGAGUUUGGAUAUAAAUAGGGGAGAUUGAUUCAGUUAUUAGACAGAGUUUUGAGAGCUUGAGAAAAACACAAAGGAAGUUUUAGAUAGCAUUUUGAGAGGUAAGGAGAAACAGAACACAAGAGAGGGGAACAUAGAGAGAUCAAAAUUUUUUAAGGCAUUCAGUUUUGAGACAGAGGUUUGAUCGAGUUAAAAAUAGAAGAGAGAUUUAUUUUAAGAGGAAGAACAUUAGACUUUCUAGGCAUACAUACAAAAGCAACAGAAAAUUCAAAAAACAAUUACCAUUCCAUUCAGUUUUCCUAGUUUAAUUUCGAGUUUCAGUAGUUGAUCUUGAUCUUCUAGCCUAGUUUUGAGUUGCUGGAGUUACUUCUGAGAUCAAUUGGUCCAGUUUUUGGUGUGUUCGAAUUGUGUUGGUCAUUUUGAGCUAUAUUUGGUUGGUUCAGUUAGCUCCUGGGUCUAUUUGUUGGUGCCUUUCAAGCUGAAAUAGCUGUGGUUGUCUUUUGCUGCUUGAAACUGCAUCUCACGUUGCUGCGACCUCCCUUUUCCUCAUCGCUUUUGUUUAUCAACUUCCAGGUACACAUCUCAGGAUUGUUUCAAUUUAGUACUUCUUAUUGAAAGUGAAAUGAAAAUGAAGACCUGUCUCUGCUAUAGAUAUGUUAUCUUAAUAAUUCUGUUAUCCAUUAGAUAAUUUUCUGUGAUUUGGUUGUUUAAACAUUGUAAUUAAACUUGGAAUGUAUAAAUGGACUGAAGACUGUUUCAUAUUAUCUAGACUGUUACUUAUUAUGUCUCAAAUGCAUAUGAACUUUUGAGUUUGAGUAUUAAUUGCAAUUAGUUUCAUGUUAGGUUAAUGAAAUAGUUUGGAGUAUUUUAGUUUGGCAUUAGUUUCGUGAAUUUGUUUAAAA